rnacentral:rRNA from 1 species
CUAUGCAAUGGUAGUAACAGAGUUUGGAUCCUGGCUCAGAUUGAACGCUGGCGGAUGCUUUACAGAUGCGGCUGAAUCGGCAGCACGGACUUCCGGUCUGGUGGCGAGUGGCGGAACGGUGAGUAUUGUAUCGGAACGCCUAGUAGCGGGGAUAACUACGCGAAAGUGCAGCCAUUACCGUGCACAUUACCUUCGGGGAAAGCGGGGACCUUCGGGCCUCGCAUCACACGAGCGGCCGAUAUCGGAUUAGCUAGUUGUGGUAACGGCUCUACUAUAUGAUGAUCCGUAGCUGGUUUGAGAGGACGACCAGCCACAUUGGGAUCGGUAUACGGCCCAGACCUUGCCGGGAGGCAGCAGUGGGGAAUUUUGACAAUGGGGGAACCCUUGAUCCAGCGCCAUCUCGUGUGCGAUGAAGGCCUUAUUGUAAAGCACUUUUGGCAGGAGAAGAACGGCACGGGAUAAUACCCGCGUAAAUCUGACGGUACCUGCAGAAUAAGUAAUCGCUAAUCGUCGCCGUGUUGCUGCAAUAUCGUAGCGUAAGCGUUAACGGAAUUACUGGGCGUGGGGCGUGCGCAGGCGGUUCGGAAAGAAAGAUGCGGAAUCCCAGAGCGCAAUCUUAAACCGCAUUUUUAACUACCGAGCUUGAGAGUGUGUCAGAGGGAGGUGGAAUUCCUAUGGCAGGAAUGCGUAGAUAUGCGGAGUGAACACCGAUGGCGAAGGCAGCUCUUCCUGAUAACACUGACGCUCAUGCACGAAAGCGUGGGGAGCAAACAGGAUUAGAUACCUCCUGAGGUUCCACGCCCUAAACGAUGUCAACUAUUGCUGGGGCUUUGGUCGGCAGCGCAGUUGACUGCGGAAGCCAUCUGCCUGGGGAGGCCGGUCGCAAGAUUAAAACCCAAAGCGAAUUGACGGGGACCGCACACAAGCGGUGAUGAUGGGAUUACCCGAUGCAACGCGAAAAACCAACAUCUCUUGACAUGGGCCUGAAUCCCAGCGAGACUGGGGUGCUCGGCAGAGAACCCGAACAGGUAAAAGGCAUGGCUGCCGCCGUAUUUCCGUGGCCGAGAUGUUGGGUUAAGUCCUGCAACGAGCGCGAACCCUUGUCAUUAGUUACAACAAAGUACCGACGAGAUCGCCGGUAAUGUAAACCGGAUAAAGGUGGAUGACGUCAAGUCCUCAUGGCUCUAUGGGUAGGGCUACACGUCAUACAAUGGUCGGGACAGAGGGUCGCCAACCCGCGAGGGGGAGCCAAUCCCAGAAACCCGAUCAGGAACUGGAUCGCAGGCCCGCAACUCGACUGCGUGAAGUCGGAAUCGCUAGUAAUCGGUGAUCAGCAUGUCGCGGUGAAUACGUUCCCAGUCUUGUACACACCACUGGUCACACUGCGAGUGGGUUUUACCGUGUGCUUGGUUAGCCUAACCGUAAGGAGGGCGAUUACCACGGUAGGAUUCAUGACUGGGGUGAAGUCGUAACAAGGCAG